GCCGGGAUAGCUCAGUUGGUCAGAGCGCCUGAUUGUGGAUCAGGAGGUCACGGGUUCAAGUCCCGUUCCCGGUUCCA
rnacentral:tRNA from 1 species